rnacentral:lncRNA from 1 species
GGUUUGGGGGAUGCUGAUGAUCUUGAAGAUGCUUCAGACUGGGACUCUGCCAGCACCACCAGUAAGGCCAGUAAGAAAUUCCCAGUUCAUAAGCUGGAUGAGGAACCCGUCUUUGAAAGCCCAGCAGCUUCCGCACUACCCAUAACAUCCGAGGAACAGGACGUGGACACCAGAGAACAUAAAGAAGCCAGUCCAGAGAGAAACAAACCCACAACCUCAAGCACAACACCUCUACCUAGUCCACGAUCUCUCAACCCAAACGCCAGCUCAAAACCACAACCACUGCCACUGCCACGACUGCGCUUGGACUCCAAUCAGAGGCCGGAGAGUGAAGGUAGAACUCAGAAACUACAAAUCUUAGAUUUAUUCUCUUAGCUUUUGAGGUGAUUUCAAUAAAUAUAUAUGCUGAUACAAAAUUUAUUUAAAUACAGAAUCGGACUGGGAUUUGGAAACUUCCAGUCCAGCCAAGAUGACAAAUUCACUGCCAAACGUCGCUGAGCCUGAUGCAGUUCAUCGGCAGGAACCCAAAGCUGAAGAUGUCGAGAGUGAAGACAGUUCUUACGCAAGUGAAGAUGCAGAUCAGGCAAGAGAGGCAUUACAAGCGUCUUCUGUAGACAUAAAUAGGCCGUCUAACCUUGAACCACUGGAGCGCCCAACCUCUCCUAGAGAGGACGAACAAGAGGAGAAAGCUGAUGAGAUUCCCUGGGAGGAACGCUAUGAGAAAAUAUGGGUGGAGAACGACAAAAAGGAGACCAAGUCCCAAUACAAAAACGUGGCUGCUGAACUAAAAGAGAGGUUCGGAGAACUGGAGCACAAAGAACCACUGAGUGACCUUUCGAAACAGGAGUGGAAAGAAGAUGAAGAGGAAAAGAAAGAGCUGGAAAAGGAAGCAGAGGACGAAGAUUCCAGUGAGGAAGAGGGAGAGUCAAUAGUGCGGCCCAUCGCCCUGGCGAGAAGUGCCAUACUUUUGCCCAUCCCAGAGCAGAGAGAGUCCGGCCUGGAGGACUCGCAGUCUGAAAGUGUCCACCGCACGGUUAGUGUUGAGGUCAGCGAUGCAGAGCUUCCCAGUGACCAACACAACCCUCAAAUCAUCCCAGAAGCCCUAACGGAUGAGGCCCAGGAGCCAGAGAACCGAACAGAUAACACUGAGGAACCUGAGAGUGGAAGCAAAGAUAAGUGUCCACUAGAAUCUGCAAGCGACAAAGAACCUGAAGAACUUCACAGACCUUCAUUGCUUGUUGAGAAUGAGCUACAAGUCCCACCCAAAGUUCUAGAAGUGCUCUCUUCUGACUCCAACGAGGUUGAU